UCACUCCAUUCAGGGUCCUGGGGGUGGGGACUGUCCUUAUUGUGAGGUUUCCCAGCACGUGGCCAUCGUGGCAGGGCUGCCAGGAGAGCUCCGUGUGGGCACCACGCACCUGGGGCAGGGCAGAUGGCCCCAGGUACAGCCAAGACAAGAACAUCCCUGGGGAUGCUCCAUGAGGAGCCUGGCUGGUGCCAGGGCAGACACAUCACCCAGAACCCCCCGCCUUCGGGGUGAAGUUCUCCUGCUCUUUGAACACCCACAGCUGAAGCAUGACUUGGCCGAUUUACCUCCCAAUAUCUCACGCUGGCCUGCAGCCGAGGGCAUUAGCGACACUGCGAGCCAGAUAAAUGAUUCGAACGCUUUU